rnacentral:misc_RNA from 1 species
CUGUCGUCUAUAGUUUUCCGUCAGUAGGUGAUCAGGGAAGAUGGCGGCGAACCUUGAGGAGGAGCAGUCUCUGCGGGAAUGUGAGGCCUACGUCCAGCGCCAUAACAUUCAACAGAUUUUGAAGGAUGCCAUCGUGAGCCUGUGUGUAAGCCGGCCCGACAACCCCAUCGCCUUCCUCCGAGACUACUUCCAUAAGCUAGACAGGGUACGUGAAUGUGGAUGUUCUUCCUGGGAGCGGGCAGUGUUGCACGAAGCUGUGCGAGAGUGCGAGCGGCGGGUGGUGACCCCAGACGAUGCGGAUGACUUGAGUCCCAUGCCGACCCACAUAGCCACCAGCAAGGCCGGACGAAGAGGGGCCAUCUCGGCCGAGCCCCUCUCCGAGGACGAUGCUACCUCUUAUGUUAAGAAGGUGGUGCCUAAAGAUUACAAAACAAUGGCAGCCCUGCAGAAGGCAAUUGGAAAAAAUGUACUGUUUGCCCAUUUGGAUGAAAAUGAGAGGUCGGAUAUCUUUGAUGCCAUGUUUCCCGUUAAUGCCCUUCCUGGAGAAGUCAUCAUACAACAGGGGGAUGAGGGUGACAAUUUCUACAUCAUGGAUCAAGGAGAAGUUGAGAUUUUUGUGAAUGGUGAACAUGUGACUAGCAUUGCUGAUGGUGGAAGCUUUGGGGAAUUGGCUCUCAUAUAUGGCACACCAAGACAAGCAACAGUAAAGGCCAAGACAGAUACCAAGCUCUGGGGUAUAGAUAGAGAUUCUUACAGACGGAUCCUCAUGGGCUCUACUAUAAGGAAACGGAAAAUGUAUGAAGAAUUCCUAUCUAAAGUAUCAAUCCUUGAAUCACUGGACAAAUGGGAGCGCUUAGUGGUGGCCGAUGCACUUGAGCCCGUGUCGUUUGAGUCGGGCUCUACCGUUGUGAGGCAAGGAGAGGCCGGAGACGAUUUCUACAUCAUUGUGGAGGGCACUGCAGUCGUCAUGCAGGCUCGCACCCCAGCUGAUGAACCUGUUGAAGUUGGCAGGCUUGGUACAUCAGAUUAUUUUGGUGAGAUUGCCCUUUUGCUGGACCGCCCACGAGCUGCCACAGUUAUGGCAGAUGGGUCUCUGAAGUGCGUCAAAUUAGAUCGGGCCAGGUUUGAACGUGUUCUUGGAAGCUGUGCAGAUAUUUUAAAGCGGAACAUUGAGCAGUACAACUCCUUUAUUGCACUAACAGUUUAGACCAUAAUUGAACCGCCAUUGUAGCCCAUAUGUAUGCAUUCAUUAGUUAAUUGUGCGCAACUCAAUAGGUUCACAUGUAAACAACUGUAAUAUGCUCCUGUUUAGGUGCUGAAAUGUGCUAACUUGUAGGGCCACAACACCAAUACUGGAACUUGGUUAUAAAGGUGUGGGGCAGUUAUGUAGGGUUUUAGGUAGUCUUUUUGUGUGUACAGUUUGUCAACAGCUACAGCUGGUAAAGGGAGAGUGCCAUCCAUCACUAAAUAGGGGUGGUAUAAUCCACCACCACAUGUGAGGGAUGAUAUAAUCCAUCACCACACAUGAGGGAUGAUAUAAUCCACCACACACGAGGGAUGGUAUAAUCCACCACAGGUGAGGGGUGGUGUAAUCCAUAACUGGUGGUGAUAGGAAUGGAAUCGUUGAGAGCAGGCAGUGCUUGAUGUUACCUGACAUCACUGGUGAGGUUGUACCACCAGCCACUAGGCAGUGCUUGAUGUUACCUGACAUCACUGGUGAGGUUGUACCACCAGCCACUUGCAGGAAGGAGAGAACUGUCUAUCAAUAAAAAGAUGGGCAAGUAUCACCUGGUGGGGUGGGGGGGAGGGGAGGGGAAUAAGGUACCAUCUAUCGCUGAUGUGAUGGCACUGUAAUAUACUGCUAGUAUAAGGUUAGUACCACCUGCCACUAGUAAGAACAGCACACCACUUAUGGGGUAAGAGUAGUAUAAUCCUGUUGUAAUGAUCAUGGUUCUAGGGGCCAUUUUGAUAUUUAAAGCUACAUAAUAUUCUGAUAUUGCAUGAAGAGUGCAGGAUGAUGACCAGCUUAUUGUAGAAGUGAAUUGAUGCAUUUAUUGGGUUAAUUUGCUUUAAACAGAUGGGAGCAAACUUUAAACAAUAUUGAACAAGGUUAUUCUUAAUACGUAUGUCUUGGCAUUAUGCACGACUUUAAAGAUUAAACGAUGUGGAACAAUUAACAUUCUUAUUAUAAAAAAGUUUUAUUAUUUUAAUGACCCAUUUCCACUUCCAAUGAUAAGCAAGUAAGGUAAUCUUUACUUAGCCAAAUAUAGUCCAGUAUAUCAAUUUGAAUUCUCGGAGUAAUGCAAAAUUGGUCCUGCGCUUGCUACAUAUAGCAUCUUUUAAAAACAAUUGAUUACUGUAGUCUCACAUAUGAAAUUGUACAUGCACUAAAAGAUUUAAUUUCAUUAGCUGUCCUUUACAUAUAAUUAUUAAUUGAUCUGGUAGAGAUCAUUUUAAAUCCUAAUGUUUCAUUUGUUUCUUUUGUGUUUGCUUAACUACAGUUAGUUAGGAUUUCAACAUGUACUGCAUGUAAAUAUGUACUGCAAGUUAACAUGUAUUAUUUGCCAACAAAAUACUGUACUAAAUUAAAAAUGUAUUUAGGGAACUAGUGAGAAGUUAUUGGAGAAAAUGUUUAUUUGAUGAACUGAUAUCCUAAAUGGUGCCACAACUGCUUUCAUUGUAUGUAUCGGAAAAAGUUAUUAAUAUUCUGUAGAAUAUUUCAAAACUUGUUCCAUUAUGUAUUGAACAACUACUGGAAAUAUUUAGGAUUUCAUCCUUUUAAGUUUAUUAGUAAUAAAAUAAUAUAUUUCAGUAUUUUCUCCCGUGACUUUUACUACUACUAUAACUUUUACUCUUAUGACUUGAAUUACUGUAGACAUUUGAACAGUUUUGUCACUGGUCAGUUUUACCCUUGCAAUGAAGAUGUCUACAUAACCUUGUGCAUAACUUCAUGUAUUAUUAAUCAAAAUUAAAAAUAAUGGUUUGUACUUGCAUCGAUAUGAUUUUGGAAUAAUUUCGUGCCCACAUGCUCAUACACCUUACAUACGUAUGUAUACAGAUGUACAGCCAUCCACACUAUUCAUAAUAAAAGUACAGUACGAUAAAUAGUGACACUCGUGUUCUUUAGAUAGUUUUUCUAGAGAGAGGUGCUAAUAAUGUACUAUAUCAUACUGUACAUAUGUGGUCUCUACAUCCCGUGGAAAAAACUUACAAAUACAUAUAUAUUUACAUAUUUACUCAAUAUAUAAUUUAUAAAUUCAGGGAUAAUCUGUUUUUAUAUCUCAAUUUUUUUUUUUUUUAGGCUACUUCAUUGUUCAAGGUUAGGCUAUCAGUGUAAGUUUUGCCACAUUUUGUGCUCUCAUUGGCCUGUUACACAUUGACAUCACAGAUCUGGCCUUUAGCUGUGUGUGUGUGUGUGUUAGUAGUGUUCAAAUGUUGAAAUUCAAAACAAAGAUCACAGAAUACACAAUUAAUCCAGGUGGUGAAGCCCAGAAAUGUACAAACAGAUCAUGUACUUGAGAUUAAGAUAAUCUACCCCAGAAUGCACGCUAGGAACUUGACUUGGAUUGUUCUAUUCGUUAACCUCACAGUCUUGAGCUGUGUAAAUGUUUUUAUAAGAAGUAAGUUUUUUUUUUAUCUCGUCUGUUCAUGCAUUUGUGUAAUCAGCUUGAUUGCUUUAUUUAAAAUAUAGACAGUCAACUAUUAUUAAAUAACAAUGAACUCGAUAGUGAAUAUAUUAUGCCAAAGGCUUAUUGUAGAUACAGUAUGUUUGAAUUACAUAAUCUUUUCUAGUUUUUAGUCUGGAGCAGUUUCUUAUUUAUGUAAAUAUAUCAAUAUAUAUUUAUGUAUAAACAUAAUUGUAUAUUCAUAUAUGAUAGCAUAUAUAGAAUGAGGAAGUGCUCCACUUCUUUAUGGAUUCCAAGACAAAUAUUUGUUCAAAUUCUAAUAUAUAAAGCUUUCACUGUUAUAUAAUGAGCCAGGCACGGCUAGCAGAUAACAGACAUUUGCAUCAAAUUUAUGUUUAUUUGUAUCACUUAAUCAGUCAAAUUUGGUAUUAAAGAAUAUAUGAUAAACUAAAAUUUAUAAUAGAAUGCUGUAUUGCUUUUUUAGACCAUGGUGAAUACACGCAAAAAUGAUUAAAUCAUUUUAAUAAAAGUAAUAUAUAUCGUGGUAGAUUAAUUUAAGGUUUAUGGAUGCAAGUUGAACUGUGUGCAGCAGUAAAGCUUGCAGUAUGGUACUAAAAAUUUCAAGCAUUUGCCAUUUUCAUAAUUUUUAUGUCAUAAAUUUAAUUUAGCAACUCUUUAACAUUCAAAAUUUAAAAAAAAAAAAAAUUUUAUUUCCAAAGUCUGAAGAAAUUUUAACCAUCUACAUUGUAUUGAAUAAAUCAGACUACAUGAUAUUGUACUGUACUUGAACUACAGCAGGAACAAGUAGUGUGUGACUACAUUUUGACACAUUCAAAGUUCACUUACACAAAGCUGAUACUUUUUCCUAACAUUCAAGAACUGUCAGACUUGCUGGAAAGAAAUUUAAAAGCAUCUUACAUUUAUUUGGCAUUUUUUAAAUUACAAAUUCUAAUAGGAAAUGUUAAAAACUCUAAACUUGAUAUUAUUGGCUUGAAUGACUGAGGAUUUACACAUUAUUGUUUUAAGAUAGUGAGAUAUUAAAUGGGAAUAAUGGUUAAGAAUUAUUAGUUUGUGGAAGAUAUAUUAUUGUUAGUCAUUAUAAAAUUUAACCGAUUCUGUGCUACAGCUUUUUGAAUCACUUAAGAGAUAGUAUUGUAGAGAGAAUUAUUACCCUGGCCUGACUACACCCUUCCUGCGUCCCCCUGCUGGGAAGGUGGACGUUUAGCAUAGCAGCCUCUUGUGUCCUCACGCUGAGUAGAAGAGAGCGGAGUAUAAGGGAAGAAUUAUUGCCAGUUUCGAUACAUAUUAUGAAUGUGCUUGUUUUAAAUAUUUCUAAACUAUUAUGUGAAUAUUACCAUAAUCAAGAUAUAUCUAAAUCAUUAAAAGUGAAAAUAUUAUAUUUAAGAAGAAAGUGUAUAAUGAAAAAAUAGGAAUAUGCAUGGAGAUAAUAACAUUUAUAUAAAUCAACAAUGAAAGUAACUGUGAUUCAGUAUCUGCAUAGGACAUAGGACUGUAUGAAAGGUACAGUGAGACGUGUGUACCUCCUUUAUCUUUAUAAUGCUCUUUGCUGAAAGUGUCUAUAUUUUUAGCAUGUAUUCAAAGCUGCCUUACAAUUUUGAUGAACUUUCCUUAAUGUAUGUCUAUGACUUGUUUUUAUAAUGUUACUUGUUGUAAUUGUCUGUAUAUUUAGCCUGGAUUCAGAGCCAAUUGUUAUUCAGGUAUGUCAUUCAGGAGGAAGUGUAUUUUGAUUUGCAUUCCUAGAUAUAUCUUUGUACUGUUCAAAAUUGCCUUAAAAUUGAAAUUGAGCAAUUUUCACAAGCACUGGCACACACUCUUCCCUCCCUCCCUCCCACUCCUCAGAAGCAUACCCUCUAUAGGCUUCCCUUCCUCCCAACUGCUCCUGGUGAGCAGUUGGGAGCUUCUGCGGCCAGUAUGUGCACAACGUUUUUAUGGUGAGGGCUGCUGACCUGUGCUUUUCCCGAGUGUGUGUACACGGAUUAGCUCUUAAGCUAUACUUCUUUCAUGCAUUUUAAACUUUGUGUUUUGGUUCUGUUGUGUUACUACUUGCUGUCAAAAAUUGGCAAAUUUUGUUAACAAAGGAUGAGGCUGUCUUCACCUUAACCUAGUCCUAUAAUAGUAUCUUGAGCUUGCAGUAUGUCUGUUUAUAUAAGAUAUUAGGUCAUGUCAUUUUUUAUUUAUUUAAAGUAAUGCUUUCCUAUAAAUUAUCUAAAUAUAAUGUUUUCUUAUACCAUUGUUAUUGAAAACUUUGUACUUCAUAGUACAAAAUGAUUGUGGGAUAUGAUAGUUUAUAUUAUAUUUACUGUAACAAUGGUAAACAAACAAGAAAUGUGUUAUAUUUUGUGGUGGUGUGAUAGGUGUGUCGGUGCACCUCCACUCCAAGUAUGUAUAAUGACAGGAUCACCAAUCAUAAUUUACUUACACAGUGUAUUCAGUGAAAUGUCAGAUUUGUAUUAAAAUGCCAUUUCUAAAAUACGUUGUGAUCAGAAUGUCGGUGUGUAUCGGCAUAAGGUAAAGAGGAUUGUUUCCAGACAUUGGUUGUAUUAACAUUUUAAAUGCGACUUAAAAGUAAUGCUGAUGAUUAGUACUAAAUGUAUUUCAGAAAACCACUGUAAAAUCCUCUUUUAUUAGCAAUAGCAUUAUGCAGAUACACACAGACAAUAACUUUGUUAUUAGGAUAAUUAUCUUGAAAUGAAAUUUUAUAAGGUGAUGGGUUUGAGAAUGUUUAAUUUUUUUAGGGAAACUUUUGGAUUUGGUUUUAUUAAGCAGUUGGUAACAACUAUAGGGUGUAAUGAUCCGAGACUAGUAACUAUCUGUGAACGUAGACUUGUAUAACAGUCAAAGGUCAGUCAUGAUGCAGCAUUUGAAUAUUGUACAUAUGUCAUAUUAAGUUUUCCCAAGGUCUUCUUUUUUAAUAUAACACCAAUAUUUAACUAACAGUGCCAAACAAAGAACAUUAACCCUUAUAAAGCACCAUAAAUUAUCACAAAUAUGUUAGAACGCAAAUUAAAGUAAAUAGGUUUUCUUCAAAGUAGGCUUGUCUUAAUUUAUGCUACCAAAUAAAGUUUGAGGUAUGAA